UACGUAGGCAGCAAGCGUUGUUCGGAAUUACUGGGCGUAAAGAGUGUGUAGGCGGUGCUCCAAGUCUGGUGUGAAAUCUCCGAGCUCAACUCGGAAAUGGCAUUGGAUACUAUUCGGCUAGAGGGUUGGAGGGGGGACUGGAAUUCUCGGUGUAGCAGUGAAAUGCGUAGAUAUCGAGAGGAACACCAGUGGCGAAGGCGAGUCCCUGGACAACUCCUGACGCUGAGGCACGAAAGCUAGGGGAGCAAACAGG
rnacentral:rRNA from 1 species